rnacentral:rRNA from 1 species
AUUGAACGCUGGCGGCAGGCUUAACACAUGCAAGUCGAACGGUAGCAGGAAGAAAGCUUGCUUUCUUUGCUGACGAGUGGCGGACGGGUGAGUAAUGCUUGGGAAUCUGGCUUAUGGAGGGGGAUAACUGUGGGAAACUGCAGCUAAUACCGCGUAUUCUCUGAGGAGGAAAGGGUGGGACCUUAGGGCCACCUGCCAUAAGAUGAGCCCAAGUGGGAUUAGGUAGUUGGUGGGGUAAAGGCCUACCAAGCCUGCGAUCUCUAGCUGGUCUGAGAGGAUGACCAGCCACACUGGAACUGAGACACGGUCCAGACUCCUACGGGAGGCAGCAGUGGGGAAUAUUGCGCAAUGGGGGGAACCCUGACGCAGCCAUGCCGCGUGAAUGAAGAAGGCCUUUGGGUUGUAAAGUUCUUUCGGUAAUGAGGAAGGGAUGUUGUUAAAUAGAUAGCAUCAUUGACGUUAAUUACAGAAGAAGCACCGGCUAACUCCGUGCCAGCASCSG